AUGAAAAAAAACUACAGUACAACUCUGAAAUCAAUAAGAUGGAGCUCGUUUCCCCUGGCUAGUCAUAGUGAUAGUAACUUAGGUGAUAACAUAUCACGUCUCAAGACAAAUUUGCUUAUGUACCAUGAAGUUAAUGAGGAGAGAGAUGCUUGUGGUAACAUAAAGCCCUUCCCUGGACAGGUGCUACGCAUGCCACAUAAGCGAAAAAAUGACAUGACACAACAUUUAAGGAGAAGAGAGAGCACUUUGGUGACCCCAGCAAGAACAAAUGUCAAGCGCAAGAACCUAGACAAAUCACUUAAAUGA
rnacentral:rRNA from 1 species